UGGUACACGUUCGGUGGAGGAACCAGACUGGAUGUUGGAAGUGAUGUCCGUCCCACCCUGACGGUGCUGCCCCCCUCCAGCCAGGAGCUGCAGCAGGGGAAGGCCACGCUCACGUGUCUGGCCAACAAGGGCUUCCCCUCAGACUGGAGUCUGGCCUGGAAGGUGGACGGCAGCAGCAGCAGCAGCAGCAGCAGCAGCUGGGAGCAGAGCAGGAGCCCCGGGGUGCUGCAGCAGGACGGCCACUACAGCUGGAGCAGCACCCUGAGGCUCACUGCAGACCAGUGGAGGAAGGUGGGCUCUGUGACCUGUGAGGCCACCCAGGGCUCCCAGACUCCACUCUCAGAGACACUGAGGAGAGACCAGUGUUCCCAGUCCUGA